rnacentral:rRNA from 1 species
UCCUACGGGGUGCAGCAGGCGAGAAAACUUUGCAAUGUGCGAAAGCACGACAAGGUUAAUCCGAGUGAUUUCUGCUAAAGAAAUCUUUUAUCAGUCGUAAAACCACUGGCGAAUAAGGGGUGGGCAAGUUCUGGUGUCAGCCGCUGCGGUAAAACCAGCACCUCAAGUGGUCAGGAUGAUUAUUGGGCCUAAAGCAUCCGUAGCCGGCUUUGUAAGUUUUCGGUUAAAUCCAUGUGCUCAACGCAUGGGCUGCCGAAAAUACUGCAUGGCUAGGGAGUGGGAGGGGUAGACGGUACUCAGUAGGAAGGGGUAAAAUCCUUUGAUCUAUUGAUGACCACCUGUGGCGAAGGUGGUCUACCAGAACACGUUCGACGGUGAGGGAUGAAAGCUGGGGGAGCAAACCGGAUUAGAUACCCGGGUAGUCCCAGCCGUAAACGAUGCAGACUCGAUGAUGCAUUGGCAUAAUAGCCAAUGCAGUGUCGCAGGGAAGCCGUUAAGUCUGCCGCCUGGGAAGUACGUACGCAAGUAUGAAACUUAAAGGAAUUGGCGGGGGAGCACCACAAGGGGUGAAGCCUGCGGUUCAAUUGGAGUCAACGCCAGAAAUCUUACCCGGAGAGACAGCAGAAUGAAGGUCAAGCUGAAGACUUUACCAGACAAGCUGAGAGGUGGUGCAUGGCCGUCGCCAGCUCGUGCCGUGAGAUGUCCUGUUAAGUCAGGUAACGAGCGAGAUCCCUGCCACUAGUUGCUAUCAUUAUUCUCAGGAAUAGUGGGGCGAAUUAGUGGGACUGCCGUUGUUAAAACGGAGGAAGGAAGGGGCUACGGCAGGUCAGUAUGCCCCGAAACUCUGGGGCCACACGCGGGCUGCAAUGGUAGUGACAAUGAGUUCCAAACUCGAAAGAGAGUGGCAAUCUCUAAACGCUACCACAGUUAUGACUGAGGGCUGUAACUCGCCCUCACGAAUAUGGAAUCCCUAGUAACCGCGUGUCAUUACCGCGCGGUGAAUACGUCCCUGCUCCUUGCACUCACCGCCCGUC